rnacentral:rRNA from 1 species
AUUGAACGCUGGCGGCAUGCCUUACACAUGCAAGUCGAACGGCAGCGGGCCUUCGGGUGCCGGCGAGUGGCGAACGGGUGAGUAAUGCAUCGGAACGUGCCAUUGAGUGGGGGAUAACGUAGCGAAAGUUACGCUAAUACCGCAUAUUCUGUGAGCAGGAAAGCAGGGGACCGCAAGGCCUUGCGCUCUUUGAGCGGCCGAUGUCAGAUUAGCUAGUUGGUGAGGUAAAGGCUUACCAAGGCGACGAUCUGUAGCGGGUCUGAGAGGAUGAUCCGCCACACUGGAACUGAGACACGGUCCAGACUCCUACGGGAGGCAGCAGUGGGGAAUUUUGGACAAUGGGCGCAAGCCUGAUCCAGCCAUGCCGCGUGAGUGAAGAAGGCCUU